AACGAACGCUGGCGGCAUGCCUAACACAUGCAAGUCGAACGAGACCUUCGGGUCUAGUGGCGCACGGGUGCGUAACGCGUGGGAACCUGCCCUUAGGUUCGGAAUAACUCCCCGAAAGGGGUGCUGAUACCGGAUAAUGUCUUCGGACCAAAGAUUUAUCGCCUUUGGAUGGGCCCGCGUUGGAUUAGCUAGUUGGUAGGGUAAAAGCCUACCAAGGCGACGAUCCAUAGCUGGUCUGAGAGGAUGAUCAGCCACACUGGGACUGAGACACGGCCCAGACCCCCACGGGGGGCAGCAGUGGGGAAUAUUGGAAAAUGGGCGAAAGCCUGAUCCAGCAAUGCCGGGGGAGUGAUGAAGGCCUUGGGGUUGUAAAGCUCUUUUACCCGGGAUGAUAAGGACAGUACCGGGAGAAUAAGCUCCGGCUAACUCCGU
rnacentral:rRNA from 1 species